rnacentral:rRNA from 1 species
CAAAGGAGCAAUCCGCUGGAAGAUGGGCUCGCGGCCGAUUAGCUAGUUGGUGGGGCAACGGCCCACCAAGGCGACGAUCGGUAGCCGGACUGAGAGGUUGAUCGGCCACAUUGGGACUGAGACACGGCCCAGACUCCUAUGGGAGGCAGCAGUGGGGGAUAUUGCACAAUGGAGGAAACUCUGAUGCAGCGACGCCGCGUGAGGGAAGACGGUCUUCGGAUUGUAAACCUCUGUCUUUGGGGAAGAAAAUGACGGUACCCAAAGAGGAAGCUCCGGCUAACUACGUGCCAGCAGCCGCGGUAAUACGUAGGGAGCGAGCGUUGUCCGGAAUUACUGGGUGUAAAGGGAGCGUAGGCGGGCGAGAAAGUUGAAUGUUAAAUCUACCGGCUUAACUGGUAGCUGCGUUCAAAACUUCUUGUCUUGAGUGAAGUAGAGGCAGGCGGAAUUCCUAGUGUAGCGGUGAAAUGCGUAGAUAUUAGGAGGAACACCAGUGGCGAAGGCGGCCUGCUGGGCUUUAACUGACGCUGAGGCUCGAAAGCGUGGGGAGCAAACAGGAUUAGAUACCCUGGUAGUCCACGCUGUAAACGAUGAUUACUAGGUGUGGGGGGACUGACCCCUUCC